CGAACGGGUGAGUAACGCGUGAGGAACCUGCCUCAAAGAGGGGGACAACAGUUGGAAACGACUGCUAAUACCGCAUAAGCCCACGGGUCGGCAUCGACCUGAGGGAAAAGGAGCAAUCCGCUUUGAGAUGGCCUCGCGUCCGAUUAGCUAGUUGGUGAGGUAAUGGCCCACCAAGGCGACGAUCGGUAGCCGGACUGAGAGGUUGAAUGGCCACAUUGGGACUGAGACACGGCCCAG
rnacentral:rRNA from 1 species